UACGGAGGGUGCAAGCGUUAAUCGGAAUUACUGGGCGUAAAGGGUGCGUAGGUGGUUGACUAAGUUAUCUGUAAAAUCCCUGGGCUUAACCUGGGCAGGUCAGAUAAGACUGGUGAACUCGAGUAUGGGAGAGGGCAGUGGAAUUUCCGGUGUAGCGGUGAAAUGCGUAGAGAUCGGAAGGAACACCAGUGGCGAAGGCGGCUGCCUGGCCUAAUACUGACACUGAGGCACGAAAGCGUGGGGAGCAAACAGGAUUAGAUACCCUGGUAGUCCACGCCGUAAACGAUGUCAACUAGCUGUUGGUCAUAUUAAAAUGAUGAGUGGCGAAGCUAACGCGAUAAGUUGACCGCCUGGGGAGUACGGUCGCAAGAUUAAA
rnacentral:rRNA from 1 species